UGCUCAGUAGCUACCCAUUCGGUAGAGCAUGAGACUCUUAAUCUCAGGAUUGUGGGUUUCAGACCCAUGUUGGGUAA